rnacentral:rRNA from 1 species
CCUACGGGAGGCAGCAGUAGGGGAAUUUUCCGCAAUGGGCGAAAGCCUGACGGAGCAAUACCGCGUGAGGGAAGAAUGCCUACGGGUUGUAAACCUCUUUUUUCAGGGAGGAACAUAAUGACGUGUACCUGAAGAAUAAGCAUCGGCUAACUCCGUGCCAGCAGCCGCGGUAAGACGGAGGAUGCAAGUGUUAUCCGGAAUCACUGGGCGUAAAGCGUCUGUAGGUGGUUUAAUAAGUCAACUGUUAAAUCUUGAGGCUCAACCUCAAAAUCGCAGUCGAAACUAUUAGACUAGAGUAUAGUAGGGGUAAAGGGAAUUUCCAGUGGAGCGGUGAAAUGCGUAGAGAUUGGAAAGAACACCGAUGGCGAAAGCACUUUACUAGGCUAUUACUGACACUCAGAGACGAAAGCUAGGGUAGCAAAUGGGAUUAGAUACCCCAGUAGUCCUAGCUGUAAACUAUGGAUACUAGAUGUUGAACAGAUCGACCUGUGCAGUAUCAAAGCUAACGCGUUAAGUAUCCCGCCUGGGGAAGUAUGCUCGCAAGGGUNAAACUUAANGAAUUGACGNNGAGAGNGCGAGACGACGACGAGGAGAGG